AGUCAAGACAAGACCAGUGGCAAAACAAAAGUCAAGACAACUGGUGAUGGUCCAGGAUACAAUGGAUGAACUUGGUCCUACUAAACUAAAAGCUACACAGGACCUGCUUCAGAUACCCUUAUGGCCAUUGGAACAGACCAUUCUCAUACAUCCAUUUCACCAAAAGUCUUCACAUUCCCCUAAGUCACCAAUGGAUGCCUUCCACAUUGUUUAGCCCAUCUAACAUGACUGUUUUAUUGGGAUAUGGCCAGUGAGAUUCUUGGAGCCACAAGUGAGAGUUGGGUGAAAGGAGGACACCCAAGUUAAUAACUAGCCCUAAAAAGGGCUCAGCAAACCCUCCCCCAGAGGUGCUAGAACUCCCUAAAUACCCCAUACACCCCAUAGUGGGGAUCACAUAUAGAAUCAAGGAGGUUCCAGUUCUAGGAGAAUACUCUAAAGUGCAGAGACAGUCCAUCCCUCCCACAUCAUCACAGAUAUCUGGAAACAGGCUCCCUAAGAUUCCACUUGGGACCCCUGCUAUGGUCCCAGGACUGGACCCUCAAUGCUACUCACAAGCUUAAAAGAAGAGAAUGUAAAUAUACACAGUCAGAGGAAGAAUGGUCAAGGAAAAGUAAAGAAAUUGUGAAACAAGGGCCAUUCACUUUGAAAUCAGAAUCUGAAACACUAAUACAUUAUUGGAGGAACUGUGAACUGAUCCAACCAUUUUGGAGAGCAAUCUGGAAUCAUUCCAAGAGAGUUAUAAAACUGUGUAUAUCUUUAGAUCCAAUAAUAUCACUUUUGAGUCUGUUUCCUAAGGUGAUCAGGGAAAAAGGAAAAGAACCUAAAUGCUCUAAAAUAUUUAUAGGAACUCUCCUUGUGGUAGCAAAGAACUGGAAAUUGAGGGGAUGUCCAUCAGUUGAGGAAUGACAGAACAAGUUGUGGCAUGAUUGUGGUGGAAUUCUUCUGUGCUGUAAGAAAUGAAGAGCUGGUUAAUUUAAAAAACCAUGGAAAGACCUAUAUGAAAUUAAUAAUUUGAAGAAAAUCUUGAGGAUGUCAACUUCCAACUUAUACAAAGUAUGUACAAUAUGUAUAUAUAUAUGUAAAUAUAUAUUUCUUGUAAAAUAAUGCCUUCUCUAGUGUGGAGAGGAGAGGGAGUGAGGCAGAUAUCUAGGAAUGUUAAGGUCACCAACAAACUAAUUAAUUUUUUAAAAAAGAAAUAAAGCAGAAUCUGAGAAAUGGAAUCUUUCUACA
rnacentral:lncRNA from 1 species